CUCGGCGGUAGUCACGAUCAUCGACCUUCAGACUCAUAACCUGAAGGUCGUAGGUUCAAAUCCUACCCCCGCAACCA
rnacentral:tRNA from 1 species